CCUAGGGGAGGCAGCAGUGAGGAAUAUUGGUCAAUGGGCGGAAGCCUGAACCAGCCAAUUAGCGUGCGGGAUGAAGGCCCUACGGGUUGUAAACCGCUUUUGCACGGGGAUAACACCCUCCACUUGUGGCGGUCUGCAGGUACCGUGCGAAUAAGGGCCGGCUAAUUCCGUGCCAGCAGCCGCGGUAAUACGGAAGGCCCGAUCGUUUUCCGGUUUCAUUGGGCUAAAAGGGAGCGUAGGCGGCCGUUAAAGUUAGCUGUAAAAUCGCGGGGCUCACCCGCGCCCCGCAGUUGAAACUGGACGCCUAGAGUGUACAAGAGGCAGGCGGAAUUCGUGGUGUAGCGGUGAAAUGCAUAGAUAUCACGAGGAACCCCGAUUGCGAAGGCAGCCUGCCGGGGUGCGACUGACGCUGAGGCUCGAAGGUGCGGGUAUCAAACAGGAUUAGAUACCCUUGUAGUC
rnacentral:rRNA from 1 species